CCAGAAACCAAGAUGGCCGCCAGCACAUGUCAAACGAAGGAGAACAGUGAGAAGAUGUGCCGUGGAAAGUUCCAUCUAGUACAGGACGCUGCCAACGCUUCAUCCUCCAGUCCACUACACAGGACACCGUCUGCGCUAUAGGACGCAUGGCACUCGUCAGCCGUCUCACGAGGAACGUGCCAGAUCUGCUUCAUUCCCUGGACCUCAGUCAGGCCUGAUCCUAAUGGAGACAUGAACCCAUAUUGUUCCAAUUGAUAAAGGGGAUAUUCACACAUGGAGGCGCUGAUGCAUUUUUGAACCCCCCCCCCCCAGU